AUUGAACGCUGGCGGCAGGCCUAACACAUGCAAGUCGAGCGGAUGAGUGGAGCUUGCUCCAUGAUUCAGCGGCGGACGGGUGAGUAAUGCCUAGGAAUCUGCCUGGUGGUGGGGGACAACGUUUCGAAAGGAACGCUAAUACCGCAUACGUCCUACGGGAGAAAGUGGGGGAUCUUCGAACCUCACGCUAUCAGAUGAGCCUAGGUCGGAUUAGCUAGUUGGUGAGGUAAAGGCUCACCAAGGCGACGAUCCGUAACUGGUCUGAGAGGAUGAUCAGUCACACUGGAACUGAGACACGGUCCAGACUCCUACGGGAGGCAGCAGUGGGGAAUAUUGGACAAUGGGCGAAAGCCUGAUCCAGCCAUGCCGCGUGUGUGAAGAAGGUCUUCGGAUUGUAAAGCACUUUAAGUUGGGAGGAAGGGCAGUAAGUUAAUACCUUGCUGUUUUGACGUUACCAACAGAAUAAGCACCGGCUAACUUCGUGCCAGCCGCCGCGGUAAAAC
rnacentral:rRNA from 1 species